AUUGAACGCUGGCGGCAGGCCUAACACAUGCAAGUCGAGCGGCAGCGGGAAAGUAGCUUGCUACUUUUGCCGGCGAGCGGCGGACGGGUGAGUAAUGCCUGGGAAAUUGCCCAGUUGAGGGGGAUAACAGUUGGAAACGACUGCUAAUACCGCAUACGCCCUACGGGGGAAAGCAGGGGACCUUCGGGCCUUGCGCGAUUGGAUAUGCCCCGGUGGGAUUAGCUAGUUGGUGAGGUAAUGGCUCACCAAGGCGACGAUCCCUAGCUGGUCUGAGAGGAUGAUCAGCCACACUGGAACUGAGACACGGUCCAGGCUCCUACGGGAGGCAGCAGUGGGGAAUAUUGCACAAUGGGGGAAACCCUGAUGCAGCCAUGCCGCGUGUGUGAAGAAGGCCUUCGGGUUGUAAAGCACUUUCAGCGAGGAGGAAAGGUUGAUGCCUAAUACUACUGGAUAGUGGACGUUACUCGCAGAAUAAGCACCGGCUAACUCUGUGCCAGCAGCCGCGGUAACAC
rnacentral:rRNA from 1 species